rnacentral:rRNA from 1 species
UACGAAGGGGGCUAGCGUUGUUCGGAAUCACUGGGCGUAAAGCGCACGUUAGGCGGAUCUUUAAGUCCAGGGGUGAAAGUCCCGAGGCUCAACCAUCGGAACUGCCUUUGAUACUGGGGAUCUCGAGUCCGGGAGAGGUGAGUGGAACUGACGAGUGUAGAGGUGAAAUUCGUAGAUAUUCGCAAGAACACCAGUGGCGAAGGCGGCUCACUGGCCCGGAACUGGACGCUGAGGUGGCGAAAGCG